AUUGAACGCUGGCGGCAGGCCUAACACAUGCAAGUCGAGCGGCAGCACUUCGGGUGGCGAGCGGCGGACGGGUGAGUAACACGUAGGAAUCUACCUAGUAGUGGGGGAUAGCCCGGGGAAACUCGGAUUAAUACCGCAUACGCUCUACGGAGGAAAGGGGGCGUUUGGCUCUCGCUAUUAGAUGAGCCUGCGUCGGAUUAGCUAGUUGGUGAGGUAAAGGCUCACCAAGGCGACGAUCCGUAACUGGUCUGAGAGGAUGAUCAGUCACACUGGAACUGAGACACGGUCCAGACUCCUACGGGAGGCAGCAGUGGGGAAUAUUGGACAAUGGGGGAAACCCGUGAUCCAGCCAUGCCGCGUGUGUGAAGAAGGCCUCGGUUGUAAG
rnacentral:rRNA from 1 species